UACGUAGGGUGCGAGCGUUGUCCGGAAUUACUGGGCGUAAAGAGCUCGUAGGCGGUUUGUCGCGUCGUCUGUGAAAUUCUGCAACUCAAUUGCAGGCGUGCAGGCGAUACGGGCAGACUUGAGUACUACAGGGGAGACUGGAAUUCCUGGUGUAGCGGUGAAAUGCGCAGAUAUCAGGAGGAACACCGGUGGCGAAGGCGGGUCUCUGGGUAGUAACUGACGCUGAGGAGCGAAAGCGUGGGUAGCGAAC
rnacentral:rRNA from 1 species